rnacentral:rRNA from 1 species
UGGGGAAUAUUGGGCAAUGGGCGCAAGCCUGACCCAGCAACGCCGCGUGAAGGAAGAAGGCUUUCAGGUUGUAAACUUCUUUUAUCGGGGACGAAGAAAGUGACGGUACCUGAUGAAUAAGCCACGGCUAACUACGUGCCAGCAGCCGCGGUAAUACGUAGGUGGCAAGCGUUAUCCGGAUUUACUGGGUGUAAAGGGCGUGUAGGCGGGACUGCAAGUCAGAUGUGAAAAUUAUGGGCUCAACCCAUAACCUGCAUUUGAAACUGUAGUUCUUGAGUGAUGGAGAGGCAGGCGGAAUUCCGUGUGUAGCGGUGAAAUGCGUAGAUAUACGGAGGAACACCAGUGGCGAAGGCGGCCUGCUGGACAUUAACUGACGCUGAGGCGCGAAAGCGUGGGGAGCAAACAGGAUUAGAUACCC